rnacentral:lncRNA from 1 species
CGAGUCUUCUCCCUUGAUGGAAAGGAGGUGGAGAGUUUCCUGGCCUGCAGAGGGGCAAUUUGGGAUGUUGGGGACAAUAGUUUUGUUUUGGGUGGGGAGAGCGAGAGAGAGAGGAGGGAUUUGGUUGGCUUGAUAGACGCCUGAAGCCACUCUUAUCUUUCAUCCCUUCUCUUUUUUGGUUUUGGUCUUGGUUUUCCUUCCCUCACAUUACUCUGAUCCAGCUGGGCCAUCCGAAAGAAAGAUAGGGGGAUUGGAGAUGGACUUCUUCGAGGGUGGAGAUUCUUUUAGUUUUCUCCUCUCGGUUUCUUCUCCCCUCUUGGGUGGUAGAGAGAGAAAAGGAGGGAGGGGGUUUAAUGGCUGCUGUGCUGUGAUGUUGCAGUUGCUGCUUGGGUACUUACUUGAAGGGGAGAUGGUGGGAUGGGGUGAAUUUCCCAUAAUGACCCUACUUUCUCUUAUAGAGAGGUUCCUUUAUGGAAAAAUUCUUUUCUUUACCUUGACCAUGAAGUGCCAUGGGAUGACCUUUUCCUAUUUGGCUCUUGCUUGACAUGGUAAACAGUAUUGCCAAGCAUUAUCUCAGUUAUUUAAUCAGCUUCAUGGCCCUUCAUUUAGUAUAAUUACUUUUAUGUGCUCCAUUCAAGAAUUAUAUUAAAUUAAAAAGGCUUCUUGUCUAUCUUUGUUAGAUUCAUGUAUCUUUGUUAAAAUAGUGUACUUGAUAGCUAUCUAUUUUUAUAUAUUUUUUUAAGUAUUUUAUAUUUAUUAAAAAAAUUAUUAAAA